UAGUCCACGCCCUAAACGAUGUAUACUCGAUGUUUGGAUUUAUUUCUGGGCAUCCGAGGGAAACCAUUAAGUAUACCACCUGGGGAGUACGUCGGCAACGAUGAAACUCAAAGGAAUUGACGGGGGCCCGCACAAGCGGUGGAGCAUGUGGUUUAAUUCGAUGAUACGCGAGGAACCUUACCAGGGCUUAAAUGUAAGUUGCAUAGACCAGAGAUGGUCUUUUCUUCGGACUACUUACAAGGUGCUGCAUGGUUGUCGUCAGCUCGUGCCGUGAGGUGUCAGGUUAAGUCCUAUAACGAGCGCAACCCCUACCGUUAGUUGCCAGCAAGUAAAGUUGGGGACUCUAGCGGGACUGCCGGUGCAAACCGAGAGGAAGGUGGGGAUGACGCCAAAUCAUCACGGCCCUUACGUCCUGGGCUACACACGUGCUACAAUGGUCGGUACAGAGGGCAGGCCACUGCGUGAGCAGGAGCGAAUCCUUAAAACCGAUCUCAGUUCGGAUCGGAGUCUGCAACUCGA
rnacentral:rRNA from 1 species